rnacentral:rRNA from 1 species
UACGAAGGGUGCAAGCGUUAGUCGGAAUUACUGGGCGUACAGGGUGCGUAGGCGGUUCGUUAAGUCUGUCGUGAAAUCCCCGGGCUCAACCUGGGAAUGGCGAUGGAUACUGGCGAGCUAGAGUGUGUCAGAGGAUGGUGGAAUUCCCGGUGUAGCGGUGAAAUGCGUAGAGAUCGGGAGGAACAUCAGUGGCGAAGGCGGCCAUCUGGGACAACACUGACGCUGAAGCACGAAAGCGUGGGGAGCAAACAGG